rnacentral:rRNA from 1 species
GAUGAACGCUGGCGGCGUGCUUAACACAUGCAAGUCGAACGAAGCACUUUAUUUUAUUUCCUUCGGGACUGAUUAUUUUGUGACUGAGUGGCGGACGGGUGAGUAACGCGUGGGUAACCUGCCUUGUACAGGGGGAUAACAGUUGGAAACGGCUGCUAAUACCGCAUAAGCGCACAGCAUCGCAUGAUGCAGUUGGAAAAACUCCGGUGGUAUAAGAUGGAGCCGCGUUGGAUUAGCUAGUUGGUGGGGUAACGGCCCACCAAGGCGACGAUCCAUAGCCGACCUGGUAGGGUGACAGGCCACAUUGGGACUGCGACCCGGCCCACACUCCUACGGGAGGCAGCAGUGGGGAAUAUUGCACAAUGAGCGAAAGCCUAAUGCAGCGACGCCGCGUAAGCGAAGAAGUAUUUCGGUAUGUACAGCUCUAUCAGCAGGGAAGAUAAUGACGUUACCUGACUAAGAAGCACCGGCUAAAUACGUG